AUUGAACGCUGGCGGCAGGCCUAACACAUGCAAGUCGAGCGAGCGGCGGACGGGUGAGUAAUGUAUGGGGAUCUGCCCGAUAGAGGGGGAUAACUACUGGAAACGGUGGCUAAUACCGCAUACUAUCGGAUGAACCCAUAUGGGAUUAGCUAGUAGGUGGGGUAAAGGCUCAACUAGGCGACGAUCUCUAGCUGGUCUGAGAGGAUGAACAGCAAGACGUGAAUUGAGACACGGUCCAGACUCCUACGGAAGGCAGCAGUGGGGAAUGUUGCACAGUGGGCGCAAGCCUGAUGCAGCCAUGCCGCGUGUAUGAAGAAGGCCUUAGGGUUGUAAAGUACUUUCAGCAGGGAGGCGUUACCCGCAGAAGAAGCACCGGCUAACUCCGUGCCAGCAGCCGCGGUAAUUC
rnacentral:rRNA from 1 species